rnacentral:rRNA from 1 species
AGUGAACGCUGGCGGUAGGCCUAACACAUGCAAGUCGAACGGCAGCACAGAGGAGCUUGCUCCUUGGGUGGCGAGUGGCGGACGGGUGAGGAAUACAUCGGAAUCUACUCUGUCGUGGAGGAUAACGUAGGGAAACUUACGCUAAUACCGCAUACGACCUACGGGUGAAAGCAGGGGACCUUCGGGCCUUGCGCGAUUGAAUGAGCCGAUGUCGGAUUAGCUAGUUGGCGGGGUAAAGGCCCACCAAGGCGACGAUCCGUAGCUGGUCUGAGAGGAUGAUCAGCCACACUGGGACUGAGACACGGUCCAGACUCCUACGGGAGGCAGCAGUGGGGAAUAUUGGACAAUGGGCGCAAGCCUGAUCCAGCCAUACCGCGUGGGUGAAGAAGGCCUUCGGGUUGUAAAGCCCUUUUGUUGGGAAAGAAAUCCAGCUGGCUAAUACCCGGUUGGGAUGACGGUACCCAAAGAAUAAGCACCGGCUAACUUCGUGCCAGCCGCCGCAGUAA